rnacentral:rRNA from 1 species
UUGAACGCUGGCGGCAUGGCCUUACACAUGCAAGUUCGAACGGCAGCGGACCUUCGGGUGCCGGCGAGUGGCGAACGGGUGAGUAAUAUAACGGAACGUACCUUUCAGUGGGGGAUAACGUAGCGAAAGUUACGCUAAUACCGCAUAUUCUGUGAGCAGGAAAGCAGGGGAUCGCAAGACCUUGCGCUGAUUGAGCGGCCGAUAUCAGAUUAGCUAGUUGGUGAGGUAAAGGCUCACCAAGGCGACGAUCUGUANCGGGUCUGAGAGGAUGAUCCGCCACACUGGAACUGAGACACGGUCCAGACUCCUACGGGAGGCAGCAGUGGGGAAUUUUGGACAAUGGGCGCAAGCCUGAUCCAGCCAUGCCGCGUGAGUGAAGAAGGCCUUCGGGUUGUAAAGCUCUUUCGGCCGGGAAGAAAUCGCACAGGUUAAUACCCUGUGUGGAUGACGGUACCGGAAUAAGAAGCACCGGCUAACUACGUG